AGUGAAACAUUGUUGGAUGCAAGCUGCCGUUAAAAACUAAGGAAGAAGAAGAAGAGGAGCCAAUCUAGCGUCGCGUUGUUGACUACCCGGGAGAAACAAAACUAGCUAAAGUAAAACGAAAAGCUCCAGAAGAAUGAUUCAUACGAGUUAUAUCUCUUUGUGAAAAAAAAGGAUAAAGGAGUGUUAAUGAAGCUUCGACUUUUUAAACAUUUAAUUCGGCUUCUUUAAAUUUAGCGUUGUCACAACAGAGAAACUCCUUCUUACCUAUUGGUAUCAACUGGCUCUUCUUUCUUUUACAUCUAUUUAAAAUGUUGUCUACUGGAGAUGUUCAAGGUUAUCUCCGUAAACUGGAAGCUCUCCUGCGAGUGAUCAAGUACCCGGGAUACAUCGACUACAAUGGGCUGUCCAAAGGAGAUCCAUCAGCUUUUCUGCCAAUACUGAGUUUCACCCUCACCUCCUUCUCUCCACCUUUUGCUGAGCAACUGAUGGCAGCUGGUUUAGAGCUGACAGGCAAAACUGACCUCCGCUUUACAGAGACUGUUUAUAAGUUAGGACGCUUUUUAUGCUCGAGUGAUUUACAGGUGUUACGAGAUAUCUUCCAGUAUAAGCCCAUGCUGACCAAGCAGCAGUUCCUCCAGUGGGGGUUCUCUCAAAGGAAAAUCUCUGUCAUCUGUGAUAUUAUUAAUUUGGUCCUACAGAAACACAGCCAGCUGAAGAAGGUAUCCAAGAAGUCAUUUGUCAUACAUCACAUGGAAAAUCCUAUGACAUCUCCCACAAACUCCUCCCAUACUGAACCAUUCUCCUUGUAUAAUGGAACAUGUGCCUCUCGUGAAGUAUACUCCCCUGAUUCUUCCAGCAAUGACGCUGCAGAGCUGCCAGGAAAAGAGGAUAAGGAUAACAGCCUUCAUGAUGUGGGAGAAGUCGUCACCAUAUCCAGAGAAAGCUGGGAAAACCUGAUAAGCAGAGUCCUGCUGUUGGAAACAAAAUUUGAACAGAGAAAUACACAGGAAGACUGUAAACGGGCUACUGACGGGAUACAAAGCGUUGCCAACUUUGGCAAAACCAAGAAAAGAGAGGACUACCUUGAAUGGCCAGAGUACUUCAUGGCUGUGGCCUUUCUGUCAGCACAAAGAAGCAAAGACCCGAACUCCCAGGUGGGAGCAUGUAUAGUGAACCAGGAGAAUAAGAUAGUGGGCAUCGGUUACAAUGGUAUGCCUAAUGGCUGUAAUGAUGACCUGCUGCCAUGGUCUCGCUCUGCUGAUGACCAGCUUGACACUAAAUACCCUUAUGUGUGCCACGCAGAGCUGAAUGCUAUUAUGAAUAAGAACAGUGCUGAUGUGAAGGACUGCACCAUGUAUGUGGCUUUGUUCCCCUGUAAUGAGUGUGCCAAGCUCAUUAUUCAGGCAGGUCUGAAGGAAGUGGUGUAUCUUUCUGACAAGUACCAUGACACACCUGAAAUGACUGCUUCCAGAAGGCUCCUCAGUAUGGCAAAGAUCAAGUACAGAAAGCUCAUCAUACAGACAAGACUGGGAGAGGCCUGUGAAAGUCAGGGGACGUUUCAGGAAUACCUGCUAGACCCAAGUUAUGAUGCUCAAUGUGGCUUAAAAAGAUCCCAAGACAUGUCUGUGAGGUGAACUAUGGAUUUUUGUGGUUACAAACCUCCACAUGAACCUUGUUAUAACUUCUCAGAGUAGGAGGCCAAUAAAAACCUUUAAAAGGCAGUUCAAGCCCAAGAGGACUGAGAUUGUCAUUGAUUUUAAUUCCAUUAACUACUCUGGAAUGCUGAACUGCGCAACCAAGUGAAAAUGCAAAUGACUCACCUUGGGGAGCUGUUGAAUGAGGCAGUGAGUCAGACGAAGAAUGACGAGAUUAAAAGGGACUUUGAUGCCUCUUUUUAUGUAUGUCUUCUCGCCUCCUGCUUUGUCCAAAGGAAAACUCAAGGAUAACCUGACUUUGGCAUCUUUGAUAUUUUGAUUUGCUGCUUUAACGUUUUUCUUUUAAAACUCCCUCUGGGUCGAGGAAUUCAUAAGGCUUAUGAACAAACUGUAGUGUUUUAUGUGUAAGUCUCCUGUGUUUGGUUUUCUUAUGGCGAGGUGUCUGGAGAGUAAAUCAGAAAUCUGUUUCUGUCAUCCUGCAAGCUUCCAGGCUCGUUCUCCUAUAUGAAGACCACUUAACCUUUGUUCAUAUUCACAGUUAAAUCUGUUUUUUGAGACUGGGAGAUGCUGUUAUUACUGCUGCCACUCAGUGUUUCAGUAUUUUAUUUCAUCCUCUCGACUGAUGCCACCUCUACAAUACUGGGCUUUAAUAUUGUUAAUUCGAAUUAGCUGUAUGCAGCUGAGCCUCAUCACUCAUUAUAGCCAAAUGGUAGUUUUAAUUAAGCAAACAAGCCAUGAAAGGCUGGUUGUGUAUUUUUAUCACAGUUUGUGAAUAUGAUCCUGGUGACCUCGACAUCUGACCUCACAGUCAGUGUCAGAGGUCAAGUUUUAAAUCUUGGUGAUAAGUUAGGACGAUUUUCCCUUUUAUUUGGUGUAGCUGCAUCUACUAGCAGGAUGAGGUGUAACACUGGAAGGUGCCAAUAUUAUUUGCAAUUAAGUUCAUCAAACCUGUUUACAAAAAGUAAUGUCUGUAAAUUUUACCCCAUCUCUGACUUUUUACUAAGUGUUCUGAUCUUUAAUGCCUCCUCUGUAGUGAAGAAUGUCUUUACUACAGCUGGAGUAAAGUGUCAGAAACAAGAGAGCACACAGUUUUUAUUUUGGACCUUUGUAACAGAAUGUAAAUCUUUCAUUCAUUAAACAUGCGUGAAAACGAA